rnacentral:tRNA from 1 species
AAAAAGUUAGUUAAAGCAUAACAUUAGUUUGUCAAAUUAAAAUUAUUAAAUAAUUUAAUACUUUUUG